AAAGAAUAUUGACGUUUCGGUGUUAUCUCCCGUAGCUAUCAUGUGCUAUCUUUAACCUAAAUUUGAGGAUGUAGGUCGAGUUAAACCAAAGGCAUUUACAUAAAAUUAGGAAUUUAUAGGUCAAGCACCUGCUGUACAUGGAACAACAAUCCAUUACAGCUUUGACUAUGCCAAGCAAGUCUUCUACCCGUACUAGGCACAACAAGUGGGCCCUUCUUUGAGUCGUUCUGUAAAUCAAAUGUGAUGAAGGAUUUAGUUGUGAUGUGACCAAUGGUGUGGUACCUCAUUUCAACAUCAUCCAUAUGGAGAAGAAUCAGCAAACCUGCACAUGGACAACUGUGCUGGGCUGAAUAAGAACGAUGCAGUGUUUGGGGAUUGGUGCCUGAUGUAUUUUGAAGGGGCCACAUAGAGAAAUAGCAUUCACUUAAAUGGAAGUGGGUGACAUAAAGUUCAGUCCUGUCUGAGAUUUGGUCUAUGGAAGACCAAAUGGAGGCAGCACACAUGUUUGUGGACUGCUGAUCUUGGCAAACUGGUUAUAUUCUUUGACUGGUUGGAGUACACCAAGAGACCCCUGGAGUCCAUUCCAAACUAGAGGAAAUAUCAUCACUUGAGGACCAAAGAAGUUGUUCAAGAUAUCAUUACAAUUAUAAGUGACGGAAUACUUGGAUUGGAGGAGAAAUCAAAAUGUCGGUUUCAAGAUUAUACCAAUCAGUGGAGAAAUGUAGGAUUAAUAAAUUAUGUAGUACAACAUUAAACACAUGUUUAAUUAUACUUGUGUUUCUCGGCUUAUGUCUAAAUAUAUCUACAAGUGAAGAACAGAAUAAAUGUACAAUUAAGAUACAACCAAGUUUGUGCUCUCUCAAAUGGGACACCAAAGAUAAAGAGAGCACUGAUGUAUACGUCAAUGGCUUUGCUGUAGCUUCUUGCACGCAGAAAUUUAGUGACAUAGGCGGCUCGUUUCUGUAUGAAAAGAAAUAUCAGACCCUGUAUAAUUGUACAUCUUCAUCAGACGGACAAUGUCUUCUAAAGAUAAAGAAGAUGGUCAAUGAACCAUUACGUAUUAACAUCACUUCACAAUCGAGCGGGUUAAAAAGUAUCGCCGUCAGUGACAACGCACUAACUGGAUGUAUAAAUUCAAAAAACACCUAUAUCAUCCUGGAAGUCGGUGGAAAUCCGUUCACAAAUGCCGGGGCAGUUUUCGCACAGACUAGGAAAGGACUCAUCGUGGUAGCUGCACAUAUGAUAAUGGGAUACUAUUAAUUUAUGACAUUAUGUCAAGUGUAUUAAGGAUCAGUUGGUGUAUGAACCAUGCUGGAAUACGGUGUUGGACAAAUCAGCAAGUGCAUUGUCAUUUCUUUGGAAGUUAACAUCGGAUGAAACGAGAGUGGCGAUGGGUGGGGUAACGUGUUAAGCAAUGGGAACUUUCGCGGAAGAAAUGCCAGAGGACGCGAGAAGGCUUAGUGAUGAACUGAGCUCUUUCUUCUGGACGUUGCUGGGUGCACUACAAAAUGUUAUUGUUUGAUUUCCUCGAUUUCAUGUUUUGUCAGAUGCUUUAUUUUUACCAAAUGUCAAUCCAAAUUCCGAAAUAAGUCGUCAUCAUUUUCAUUUAUAUUAAUAUUUCUUCAACUGUUCCAUACAUCAUGAAAUCAAAAUCUACAUUAAAAUCAAUCAAAUUAUCGUUGCUCAUUUUGUUUUAACUGCUUUUCUGUAGAUUUCAGUUAUGCAGGUUGCCAAUAAUUUUACUACGAUUUCAUUGAAAAAACAGUUCCAUAGUAUGCCCCGUCCAUUAGUAUUAUUGCGCCCAAUGACAGGACAGAAGUAUCGAACACAAUCACGCGAUUUUGAUGGAAAAUGCCAUUGCACUUUUAUAGAAAUAAUGUGAAAUUGAUAAACAACAACCAUCGUUAAGAAAUGAAAUGUUAAUGUAAAUAUUUCAGAUUAGCAACUGCUUCUUUGAUGAAAUCAUAUUCAUGUCAUUGUGUGCACGUUUUGACUUUGUUGCAUUGAAUUAUCACGUUUUUAACGAUUUGCUUCCAGACAUAAAAACUAUAACCAUUAUUGUUUUAGUGUGUGUGUGUGUGUGUGCGCGCGCGCGCGCGCGUGCGUGCGUGCGUGCGUGUGUGUGUGUGUGUGUGUGUGUUAUGUGCGAUGCAUAUGUACAACAAUUACACUGUAACAAAAGUAAAUAUAAAACAUAUAAUGUAAAAACUACUGUCGAAUGGUGCUAUUCUGUUAUCUUAAUUUAUGCAUGCAAUAAAGGGAGUAAGACACAAAUAUUGCAGAAGACAUGGAAAUGUUGUAUUUAUGCCAGAUAUCAAUUAUUAAGGAUUUAAGAAACAGAUUUUGUAUUUGAAUUUGUUGUUGUAUUGUGAAUAAAUGUGAGUGAACAAAA